CCUGCCGGCAACAUAUGCUCGUGUCAAAGAUUAAGCCAUGCAAGUCUAAGUUUAGUAUCAUCUAGCGAAACUGCGGAGGGCUCAUUAAAUCAGUUAUAAUCUAACCAGGACACCACUCGGAUAACUGCAGUAAUUCUGGAGCUAAUACGUAUAAACGGCCGACUCACGAAGGCCACCACUAUCACUUUACUCUGUCCGGUUCGCCGGUAGCGUGAAUGCCGAUAGCAGCAGUUAACCGAAGGCCUUGUGCCACGGUACCAUGGUCGAGUUUCUGCCCUAUCAAGUUGUAUGUAGCGUAUUGGGCUACAUAGCUGAUAACGGGUGACGGGGAAUUAGGGUUCGAUUCCGGAGAGGGAGCCUGAGAGAUGGCUACCACUUCUAAGGAAGGCAGCAGGCGCGCAAAUUACCCAAUCUCAAUUCGAGGAGGUAGUGACAAUACAUACUGAUGGAACCCCUUUUAGGGGAUCUAAUCGGAAUGAGGUGGAUUUAAAAAGACCACCAAGGAACAAUCAGAGGGCAAGUCUGGUGCCAGCAGCCGCGGUAAUUCCAGCUCUGAUAGCGUAUGCUAAAGUUGUUGUGGUUAAAAGGCUCGUAGUCUAAACCGACUGUCAGGAACUCACGUGUUGAAUAAACUGUGAGGGAUAGACGCAUCUAUUCAUCGUAGCAACCCUUAGAUGGGCGCUGCGUUUGGGUAGAAAUCACCUUGAGUAAAACUAUACGUCCAAGGUAUGUUAAAUGCAUGUAAGAUUCAGCAUGGUAUGAUAGAAUAAGGGUUCUGCAUCUGAGCAGACGGAAGUAGGACCAAUGAUUAAUAGGAGCGGUUGGGGGUGUUCAUAUUGUACCGGGAGAGGUGAAAUUCUAUGAUCGGUACAAGAUGUCCUAAUGCGAAGGCAUUCACCAAAUACGCUUCCAUUGAUCAAGAACGAAAGUUAGGGGAUCGAAGACGAUCAGAUACCGUCGUAGUCUUAACAGUAAACGAUACCGACCAGGAAUUGAAAAACGUUACACGGAUGACUUUCUCAGCACCCAUAGAGAAAUCUAGAGUCUUUGGGUUCCGGGGGGAGUAUGGUCGCAAGGCUGAAACUUAAAGGAAUUGACGGAAGGGCACCACCAGGAGUGGAACCUGCGGC
rnacentral:rRNA from 1 species